GUUAGGCUUGAUGCUAAUAGUAGGAAAGGAGAAAUCAGUCUGUAUGGGCUGUGGAUGCGAGCUUUGCAAUGUCCAUCACCACAGAGCAGUCCAGGCCCGAGUGGAUGAGAGUCCCAUGCUGGGCAGCCACGCUGUGCCCACAGCUCUGCUGCUAUCAGAGCUGCAGGGAGAGAGCAUCCAAACUGCACACCCACUGCUUGGCCACGUCCAGCCCCGCUGUGCUGCAGCACAGAACGAUGGGAUCUGAACGUCUUUACAGCUUUGGAGCUGUGGCGGUGUCGUGAGG
rnacentral:lncRNA from 1 species